UUCCGGUUGAUCCUGCCAGAGGCCACUGCUAUCGGAGUUCGAUUAAGCCAUGCGAGUCGAGAGGUGAAAGACCUCGGCAUACUGCUCAGUAACACGUGGAUAACCUACCCUAAGGUGGGAGAUAACCCCGGGAAACUGGGGAUAAUACCCCAUAAUCUAUGGAAGCUGGAAUGCUCUAUAGUUGAAAGAUUUAUCGCCUUAGGAUGGGUCUGCGGCCGAUUAGGUAGUUGUUGGGGUAACGGCCCAACAAGCCUUUGAUCGGUACGGGUUGUGGGAGCAAGAGCCCGGAGAUGGAUUCUGAGACACGAAUCCAGGCCCUACGGGGCGCAGCAGGCGCGAAAACUUUACAAUGCGGGAAACCGUGAUAAGGGAACUCCGAGUGCCCGUAAACGCGGGCUGUCCAUCUGCUUAAAAAACAGGUGAAGAAAGGGCCGGGCAAGACCGGUGCCAGCCGCCGCGGUAAUACCGGCGGCUCGAGUGGUGGCCACUAUUACUGGGCUUAAAGCGUCCGUAGCUUGGUUGUUAAGUCUCUUGGGAAAUCUGUCGGCUUAACCGACAGGCGUUUAAGGGAUACUGGCAAUCUAGGGACCGGGAGAGGUGAGAGGUACUUCAGGGGUAGGAGUGAAAUCCUGUAAUCCUUGGGGGACCACCUGUGGCGUAGGCGUCUCACCAGAACGGCUCCGACAGUGAGGGACGAAAGCUGGGGGAGCAAACCGGAUUAGAUACCCGGGUAGUCCCAGCCGUAAACGAUGCGCGUUAGGUGUAUCGGUGACCACGAGUCACCGAGGUGCCGAAGGGAAACCGUGAAACGUGCCGCCUGGGAAGUACGGUCGCAAGGCUGAAACUUAAAGGAAUUGGCGGG
rnacentral:rRNA from 1 species